GAUGAACGCUAGCGACAGGCUUAACACAUGCAAGUCGAGGGGCAGCAUAAAGAUCAGCUUGCUGAUUUUGGUGGCGACCGGCGCACGGGUGAGUAACGCGUAUGCAACCUACCUAUCAGAGAGGGAUAGCCCAUUGAAAGAUGGAUUAAUACCUCAUAAAACAGGGGUCCCGCAUGGGGCUAUUUGUUAAAGAUUUAUUGCUGAUAGAUGGGCAUGCGUUCCAUUAGUUAGUUGGUAGGGUAACGGCCUACCAAGACGUCGAUGGAUAGGGGUUCUGAGAGGAAGGUCCCCCACACUGGUACUGAGACACGGACCAGACUCCUACGGGAGGCAGCAGUGAGGAAUAUUGGUCAAUGGGCGAGAGCCUGAACCAGCCAAGUCGCGUGAAGGAUGACUGCCCUAUGGGUUGUAAACUUCUUUUAUAUGGGAAUAACAGGUCUUACGUGUAGGAUUUUGCAUGUACCAUUAUGAAUAAGCAUCGGCUAACUCCGUGCCAGCCGCCGCAGUAACAC
rnacentral:rRNA from 1 species